rnacentral:misc_RNA from 1 species
AAGUCGUAACAAGGUUACCGUAGGUGAACCUGCGGUAGGAUCAUUGACACUUUUUCGUAAUUACAAAUGUGAAAAUUUUAAAUGAAAGUUUUUUUAUUUUUUUAAAAUUUAAUUAAUUUGAAAAAAUUAUUAAAAUUAAAAAUUAAAUGAAAAAAACAUUUUCAACAAUGGAUCUCUUGGCUCUC